GGCUCAGGAUGAACGCUGGCGGCGUGCCUAAUACAUGCAAGUCGAGCGAACGGACAGGAGUGCUUGCACUCCUUGAAGUUAGCGGCGGACGGGUGAGUAACACGUGGGUAACCUACCUAUAAGACUGGGAUAACUUCGGGAAACCGGAGCUAAUACCGGAUAAUAUAUACCUCCGCAUGGAGGAAUAGUCAAAGACGGUUCUGCUGUCACUUAUAGAUGGACCCGCGGUGUAUUAGCUAGUUGGUGAGGUAACGGCUCACCAAGGCAACGAUACAUAGCCGACCUGAGAGGGUGAUCGGCCACACUGGGACUGAGACACGGCCCAGACUCCUACGGGAGGCAGCAGUAGGGAAUCUUCCGCAAUGGACGAAAGUCUGACGGAGCAACGCCGCGUGAGUGAAGAAGGUUUUCGGAUCGUAAAACUCUGUUGUAAGG
rnacentral:rRNA from 1 species